GAAAUGGAACGGAUGAUCGCGGCAUUGCCGAGGAAAGUCCGGACUUCACAGGGCAGGGUGCCGGGUAACGCCCGGAGGGAGUGAUCCCUGAAAAGGGCCAUAGAAACGGAAACCGCCCGAAAGGGCAAGGAUGGAAAGGCGAGGGAAGAGCUCAC
rnacentral:RNase_P_RNA from 1 species